UUUCCGUAGGUGAACCUGCGGAAGGAUCAUUACUGAAUUUUGAAUGAAGUUGUUCUGGUCUUUCGGGGCAAGUGAACGCUUCUCUUAAUCCAUCUUACACCUGUGCACUUAUCGUGGAAGACUUGGAUCUAAGUUGGGUCACGACGGCGAUCUACAGUCUCCUCUUUAUAGCAAGUAAAAGUUUUAGAAAGUCUUUUUUGCUUGAUGCAAACUUAAAUAAAUACAACUUUCAGCAACGGAUCUCUUGGCUCUC
rnacentral:misc_RNA from 1 species